AUGACUGCGAAAUGCGCGUCCCCGACAGCGGAAGUUGCAGACAGAGCCCGUCCGGCUGUGGUUUGGUAAACCGGUGAAAAAAGAUAACCGUGGUGGAGCGGAAAAAUUGCUUUUACGUGGAAUAAAACAGCUAUAUGUAUGUAUCUCGAGUUCUUCUUCCCCAAUAUUCAAAGGGUGACUGUGUGUGAAGAAUACACUCUGUGUUUGCAAGGCCCUGUAGGUGACUCCUCCAGACCCCAGAGUGAGGAUUGUGUGUGACAAUGGGGGACAUCAGUGAUCUGGACAGACGGAUAGAACAACUUAAGCGUUGUGAACUCAUCAAGGAAAAUGAAGUCAAAGCACUGUGUGCCAAGGCCAGAAUCUCCCUGUAACACAGAGGGUGGAUUCUCCAGUUACUACCGACUCAGAUUAAGUCUGAGGCCGGUAACAUCAACAGUGAAGACAAACCAAUCCUGUCACUCUCCUUCCACACUAAGUUGAAACCUACAGUCACUGGGUCCUGAUUGUGACAGUGGAGCCCAGUUUGCACCGUAGGAACCAGAGAUGGCAUCAGUGAAGCUGGAAGACUGCAGUCAAACACUGGAGCUGAAUGUCAACAUUAAAGAUGAAGAGGAGGAGAACAUUAGGACAACUGUUAGUCAUGGAGACCAUGUUGAGACAUUCUCUACAUCCAGAGAGCAACAGCAGGAAGAUCAUAGAGCUAAGAGGUCUCAUCACUGCCCACAUUGUGAAAAGAUUUUCCCAUUUCUAUCAAAGCUAAAAAUACACCUAAAAAUACACACAGGAGAGAAGCCUUACUCCUGCUCUGACUGUGGAAAAUGCUUCAAAACAUCAACGGUGCUAAAACUUCAUCAGAGAACACACACAGGAGAGAAGCCUUUCUUCUGCCCUGACUGUGGAACUAGUUUCUCUCAACUUUCCCACUUAAAAUCACAUGAACGUAUACAUACAGGGGAGAAGCCUUACUCCUGCUCUGACUGUGGGAAAUGUUUUAAAACAUCAAAUGACCUAAAAGUUCAUCAGAGAACACACACAGGAGAGAAGCCUUUCUUCUGCCCUGACUGUGGAACUAGUUUCUGUCAAAUUUCCCACUUAAAAGCACAUGAACGUAUACAUACA